UUACCUAGAGUUGUAGGCUUUGCCUGCUAUCUCUUACCCAUGUCUUUUGAGUACCUUACGUUUCCUCGGUGGGUUCGCCCACCGAUUGGACAAACUUAAACCCUUUGCAGUUGAAAUCAGCGUCUGAAAAAACUUAAUAGUUACAACUUUCAACAACGGAUCUCUUGGUUCUGGCAUCGAUGAAGAACGCAGCGAAAUGCGAUAAGUAGUGUGAAUUGCAGAAUUCAGUGAAUCAUCGAAUCUUUGAACGCACAUUGCGCCCCUUGGUAUUCCAUGGGGCAUGCCUGUUCGAGCGUCAUUUGUACCUUCAAGCUCUGCUUGGUGUUGGGUGUUUGUCUCCUGUAGACUCGCCUUAAAACAAUUGGCAGCCGGCGUAUUGAUUUCGGAGCGCAGUACAUCUCGCGCUUUGCACUCAUAACGACGACGUCCAAAAGUACAUUUUUACACUCUUGACCUCGGAUCAG
rnacentral:rRNA from 1 species